GUGCCAGCAGCUGCGGUAAUACGGAGGAUCCGAGCGUUAUCCGGAUUUAUUGGGUUUAAAGGGUGCGUAGGCGGCCUAUUAAGUCAGGGGUGAAAUACGGUGGCUCAACCAUCGCAGUGCCUUUGAUACUGAUGGGCUUGAAUCCAUUUGAAGUGGGCGGAAUAAGACAAGUAGCGGUGAAAUGCAUAGAUAUGUCUUAGAACUCCGAUUGCGAAGGCAGCUCACUAAGCUGGUAUUGACGCUGAUGCACGAAAGCGUGGGAUCGAACAGGAUUAGAUACCCUGGUAGUCCACGCCCUAAACGAUGAUAACUCGAUGUUGGCAUAGACAGCCAGCGU
rnacentral:rRNA from 1 species